rnacentral:rRNA from 1 species
GUAGUCCACGCUGUAAACGUUGGGCACUAGGUGUGGCGACCCGACCAACGGUUGCCGUGCCGAAGCUAACGCAUUAAGUGCCCCGCCUGGGGAGUACGGCCGCAAGGCUAAAACUCAAAGGAAUUGACGGGUCCCCGCACAAGCGGCGGAGCAUGCGGCUUAAUUCGAUGCAACCCGAAGAACCUUACCUGGGUUUGACAUUAUGGGAAAAGCCGUAGAGAUACGGUGUCCGAAAGGGCCCAUAACAGGUGGUGCAUGGCUGUCGUCAGCUCGUGUCGUGAGAUGUUGGGUUAAGUCCCGCAACGAGCGCAACCCUUGUCCUAUGUUACCAGCGAGUUAAGUCGGGGACUCAUAGGAGACUGCCGGGGACAACUCGGAGGAAGGUGGGGAUGACGUCAAGUCCUCAUGCCCCUUAUGCCCAGGGCUGCACGCAUGCUACAAUGGUCGGUACAACGGGCUGCGAUCCCGCGAGGGUGAGCGAAUCCCUAAAAGCCGGCCUCAGUUCAGAUUGGAGUCUGCAACUCGACUCCAUGAAGUCGGAGUCGCUAGUAAUCGCGGAUCAGCAAAGCCGCGGUGAAUG